rnacentral:lncRNA from 1 species
GUGGAGGAAUUGUGUUCAGGUCACUGAAAUUGAAGGCUGAGCUUCCAGAAUUCCUCAGUCCUCUGUUCCAGCCAGAGACAAAAAGAGAGGUCUCCCUGUCACUCCCCUUUGGUGAGAUAACUGGGGGUGGUAGCAGCCUAGCCUUCCUCCCCACUGCCCCACCAGAAUAAGAACGCCACCCAAGGAGUGCUGACAUAUUCUGCCAUAGCUGCGGAGCCUGCAUCCAGGAGGGAGGAGAUUUUGUCAUCAGUCAUUUAGAAGAAAAGCAACACCCUAGCCCAGGCUCAUACUCCUAUGCAUGGCCUGCAUUAACAGGAGGGUCAAGACUGAUUGGUAACUCUGAUUCCAAUGAAACAAGAUUGUGAAUGGUGAGUAGUAUUUCUUGUUCCUCAAUCAGUUGUAGGAUAUGGACUCCUCACCACUGCCGAGAUAUUAAACUAUAAUUCCUUCCUGCACUCUAAGUAAAUAUCAACUGACUUCACUCAUAAAUAAGAUGCCAAGUGUCCAG